rnacentral:sRNA from 1 species
GCUGGGCACUGUGACGCAUGCCUGUAAUCCCAGCUACUUGGGAGGCUGAGAGAAGAGGGUUGCAAGUUCAAGGCCAUUAGCCAGACUCUGUCUU